GAAGAACGCUGGACUAGGGAAGAGAUUCAAACGUGUAUGGCUAAGUUGGAUGCAAGCACCAUCCAUCAUGCCUGAUUCUGUUGGGGAAGGUGACCCUGGAUUCAACAGUGGCAUCUGGGCACAUUUACAAUAUGGAAGAUCAAAGCCUGAAGAGUGCAACUGCUGGGCUGAACAAAAGGUUUGUGAAUCUUUAGCUGUCA